rnacentral:lncRNA from 1 species
AUCAGCUUCCUCUAAGACCCUUUUGGCUCUGCUCUACCACUGAGGCCCUCAGGCUCUUUUCUGAAAUCUUCACCUCCAUCGCCUCCCUGGGUCGAGGUGGAGAGACCUCCUGAGCGGGCAGAGGCUCAGGCCCCCCCAGAGGCAGAUGGAAGGUUUCCCCCAGCAAGGAGGACAACAUGGGUCUAAAUCUAUCACUGACAUCUCUGCUUAUUAGCUGAUCCUUGCCACCUGGCUAACUCCGACCACAGCAAAACUGAGAGUUCCGAGGGCUUCUCAGAGGGUGGAGAGUGGAAACAGGACAUAAGAGAGAGAAAAUUCCACAGAAGCAAGAACUUGGAGCCACAAGUGACUAUGGGAG